rnacentral:rRNA from 1 species
UGCAGUCGAACGGCAGCACGGGGGCAACCCUGGUGGCGAGUGGCGAACGGAUGAGUAAUACAUCGGAACGUGUCCUGUAGUGGGGGAUAGCCCGGCGAAAGCCGGAUUAAUACCGCAUACGCUCUGCGGAGGAAAGCGGGGGAUCCUUCGGGACCUCGCGCUACAGGGGUGGCCGAUGGCAGAUUAGCUAGUUGGUGGGGUAAAGGCCUACCAAGGCGACGAUCUGUAGCUGGUCUGAGAGGACGACCAGCCACACUGGGACUGAGACACGGCCCAGACUCCUACGGGAGGCAGCAGUGGGGAAUUUUGGACAAUGGGGGAAACCCUGAUCCAGCAAUGCCGCGUGUGUGAAGAAGGCCUUCGGGUUGUAAAGCACUUUUGUCCGGAAAGAAAACCUCUGUCCUAAUACGGUGGGGGGAUGACGGUACCGGAAGAAUAAGCACCGGCUAACUACGUGCCAGCAGCCGCGGUAAUACGUAGGGUGCAAGCGUUAAUCGGAAUUACUGGGCGUAAAGCGUGCGCAGGCGGUCCGCUAAGACAGAUGUGAAAUCCCCGGGCUUAACCUGGGAACUGCAUUUGUGACUGGCGGCCUAGAGUAUGGCAGA